rnacentral:rRNA from 1 species
UUCGGGCGCCGGCGAGUGGCGAACGGGUGAGUAACACGUGGAGACCUAUCCAUUGGUGGGGGACAACAGCUGGAAACGGCUGCUAAUACCGCAUAAUCCCUACGGGGGAAAGAUUUAUCGCCAUAGGAGGGUUCCGCGUCGGAUUAGCUAGUUGGUGGGGUAACGGCCUACCAAGGCGACGAUCCGUAGCUGGUCUUAGAGGAUGAUCAGCCACACUGGGACUGAGACACGGCCCAGACUCCUACGGGAGGCAGCAGUGGGGAAUAUUGCGCAAUGGGGGAAACCCUGACGCAGCGAUGCCGCGUGGGUGAAGAAGGCCUUAGGGUUGUAAAGCCCUUUCAGUGGGAACGAUCGUGACGGUACCCACAGAAGAAGCCCCGGCUAACUCCGUGCCAGCAGCCGCGGUAAUACGGAGGGGGCGAGCGUUGUUCGGAAUUAUUGGGCGUAAAGCGCGCGUAGGCGGUUUAUCAAG